rnacentral:rRNA from 1 species
GAUGAACGCUGGCGGUGUGCUUAACACAUGCCAGUCGAACGGCGACGCUCCAGCUUGCUGGUGUGGAUCAGUGCCGAACGGGUGCGUAUCACGUGAGCAACCUGCCCCACACUUUGGAAUAAGCGCUCGAAACGGCGCCUACGACUGUAUCCGAGAUCAAGUCGCAUGGAUAUCGUCGGCUAAUCUUAUCGGGCUGGGAUGGGCUCGCGGCCGAUCAGCUUGUUGGUGGGGUAAUGGCUGACCCACGCAGCGACGGAUAGGCGGCCUGGGAGGGCGACCGGCGACACGAGGACUGAGAGACGGACCAGACUGCUACAGGAGGCAGCAGUGGGGAAUAUUGCACAAUGGGCGAAAGCCUGAUACAGAGACGCCGCGUGAGUGAUGACGGCCUUCGGGUUGAAAACCUCAUUCGGCAGGGAAGAAGCUAAAGUGACGGUACCUGCAGAAGAAGCACCGGCUAACUACGUG